rnacentral:lncRNA from 1 species
CUCUGAAGGAAGCUUUUGUGUCAUCUGACAGGAAUCAUUGAACACUGACUGGACUCCAGCACAAUGCAGCUCGUUUUCACUGUCUGAAUUUCGUCUGCACCCAUGAAAAGCAAGUCAGAGGUGUGAGAAGACUGCUUCACCUUGGACUUGCCUUUGUUGUGUUUUGUGUUUUUUCUAGAGAGCCACUGCAAGGCCCAGGAUGAAGAGAGACAGUGAGAAGAUCCCAACCAUUUAUCACUGACACCGGCAUCUGUGGUCUCAGAAUGAAAUCCCAAAAUGAUGCAGGAGUGCCCCCUCGUGACUUGAAGCACCUGCUCAGCUGGAAACUGAAUUUCAGAUCCUUCCAGCGGUCCCUGCAGUCGGGUCCAGUGGAGA